rnacentral:rRNA from 1 species
ACGAACGCUGGCGGCGUGCUUCACACAUGCAAGUCGAUCGGAAAGGCCCUGCUUUUGUGGGGUGCUCGAGUGGCGAACGGGUGAGUAACACGUGAGUAACCUGCCCUUGACUUUGGGAUAACUUCAGGAAACUGGGGCUAAUACCGGAUAGGAGCUCCUGCUGCAUGGUGGGGGUUGGAAAGUUUCGGCGGUUGGGGAUGGACUCGCGGCUUAUCAGCUUGUUGGUGGGGUAGUGGCUUACCAAGGCUUUGACGGGUAGCCGGCCUGAGAGGGUGACCGGCCACAUUGGGACUGAGAUACGGCCCAGACUCCUACGGGAGGCAGCAGUGGGGAAUAUUGCACAAUGGGCGGAAGCCUGAUGCAGCAACGCCGCGUGCGGGAUGACGGCCUUCGGGUUGUAAACCGCUUUCGCCUGUGACGAAGCGUGAGUGACGGUAAUGGGUAAAGAAGCACCGGCUAACUACGUG